rnacentral:lncRNA from 1 species
AAAAUAUUAAUCUCCCUGUCUGCAAAUAUUGCAGGGAGAAUUUGGAGAUCAAGGCUUAAUGGGAUUUCAGGGGUUCCCAGGUCCCAAGGGCCCUGAAGGCAACCCUGGUUUAAUUGGAAUUCUGGGACCUAAAGGCCCAACAGGCCAAAUAGGAAACACUGGUCCUUUUGGUAUUGAAGGCAUGAUAGGCCCAGCUGGCAAGCCUGUAAGUACAGUUUAUUCCACUUUACUCUUUCCUUUAUACUGUUUCUUACCAUUGCCUUUCAACAGAGUAAGGUUGUUGCACUUUGAACAGUAGUUGAGAAUU